rnacentral:rRNA from 1 species
AACUCGACUACAUGAAGCUGGAAUCGCUAGUAAUCGCAGAUCAGAAUGCUGCGGUGAAUACGUUCCCGGGUCUUGUACACACCGCCCGUCACACCAUGGGAGUCGGAAAUGCCCGAAGCCGGUGACCAAACCAAUAAGGAAGGAGCCGUCGAAGGCAGGUCUGAUAACUGGGGUGAAGUCGUAACAAGGUAUC